CCAGGAGACUUUAUGGGGGUCCCUCCAAGAAUGGUCAUCAUAGCACCCUCAUCUUAUAUGAUUUUGGUAGCUAAGCACGAUCAGGCAUGGUUAGUAUUUGGAUGGGAGACCAGUAGGAAUUGCUAGAAGCCUCCUGGG
rnacentral:rRNA from 1 species